ACGCGUCGUCCGUGUGUGUGGACCAAAUCGUCCGCACCAGAUUCGUCGCCCCUCGCCUUGCAGUCGUUCGCCUCCUCCGCCUCCCAGUCGAAGCGCCAUCGCCGAUCUCCUCGAAGCCGGCCCUUCGACUCAAUCCCUUGGCCCUCCUCCCCCCUAGGCCGUGAGGAAGGCUCCAUGGCGUCGCUACAGCGACGGAUUCGUCGCCAGCGGGGAACGCCACCGCAACGCGCACCAAAAUUGCAGCGUCGUCGCCGGCCCUUCGACUCAAUCCCGCGGCCCUCCUCCGCCGUUGGCCGUGAAGAAGGCUCGAUGUCGUGGCCGCGGGGGAGGUGGGUGGAGACCGAAUCUGCAAGGGGCUCUAUCAGUGCAUGCAGGUAUGGUUAGACUCCCUCGCUCAGAUAGUUGGAUGCAAGCCUGUGCCUCUUCCUUGGCUCCGUUCCUGAUCCUCCAUGUGCAACCUUGGAUGGCCGUGUACUUCUCCUCCCCUCUCCCCUUUAUCCUCCUGCAGUGACAGCCUCGCAUCAAUCUUGAUUGAGGUGCUUCAAUGCCGGAUGUAGAUUCAGCGUCAGCGUCACCUUAGUACCUUACCCUCCCGCUCUUCCUUGAAUGCGUCGUCGCCAUCAUCAGUUGUCGUUGGCUCACAGGUCCAUAUCACCACUAUAUGUAUACUGCUCUCUGUUGGUUGCAACUAAACUUUUCUUUUUGUGUCUUCGAUAAGCUGGACAAUCACUAACCAUUUAAUUUUGUAGUUACCUACUGAUAAAUCUAGAGGUAAAAUAAAAUGCAUCUUUGGCAUUAUAGGAUUUGCAAUAUUUCUGUCGUGGCCUGUGGUUCUCUAAUCCCAAUUCGUUCCACUACAUUGGAUUUAUCCUAUACCCUAACCUCUUUGACUUACAGAUUAUGUCUUCAGUUUAAGCUGUUGUAUGUUGGGUGAAUCCCGAGAGUGUUUGUUCUAUGUUUGAAAAGGGGAAAAUUUACUAACAGUCUAAUACCUGCAGGGGAGAAUUUAGCAAUUACAUACACAAUGAAAUAAUCUGCUGCAGUGUCUUCUUUGUCUGAAUUUUAAGGUAAUGUUGUGGAACAAUUCGUCACUGUCUAUGACAGUGGUAUUUGUGGGAUAGCAGGAGAGAGUCCUGAAUAUCUAACUUUGUAGGGUUACAUGGAAAAUUGAUUCAUAAGCCUUACUUCAGUAGAACAAAUACUGAUAUAACUAUAUAUAUAGCACCUUGCAAUAAGAUUGAAGAUGUCCUAACAUUGGAGCAGGUUAGGUAUAUGUAGUUCCAGCAUGCUCUCAUUGUUAAUCAGUUUCUAAUACUAAUAAAUUUUGAAUAUAGGUCAUGGCAUUGUGGGGCUAUGUUUACUUCUGUACUCAUGGGCAUGACAGUUUUCUUAUUUUGUGAAACAAAUCAAACGUAAACAAUAUUAUGUCAGUGAUAAGGAAAAUGAACUAGCAAGCAAGAGUGAUAUGAAAAGAUUGGUAGUCACUGAUAAGGAAAAUGAACGGGCAAGCAAGAGUGAUAGAUUGAUGUGAAAGGAUUGGUAUGAAAAUUAAUUAUUGUGUUUCCUUCCGGCCUUUUAACUGUGCAUAAAAGAAAAAGGUGUAUCCAUCUUGCUUUGUGUCUAUUUCUUUUAUAGAAGCUCUAACAUGUUUCCCCUCAACCCAUGCUAUGCACUCCUAAGGUGUUCCAAUACAUGUGUAAUUACCUUUGCUGAUGACAGACUACCCAUUUGUAAUCUUAGCUGUCUAAUAAUUAUGUGAUCACCGUGUUCCAUAGAUAUUUACUCUUAUUGCACUUCAUGUAUUUUAUCUUAUGCUAUUACUAUGUUUAUUUUGAUUCCUCUAUUUUCCAGGUUAUGGAUGUAAUUACUCCCUGUGCCUUCUAUUCUUGACAAAGGUGAAUGCUCCGCUAGAGAGAUUUGUUGUUAGAAUAUCCUUUAAUAUCCAUGAUACUCCUUGCUGGCCUUUAUUUCUAUAUCGUUAGUAAAAGCCUAUUGAUUUCCAGAGAUAUUGAUGUGUACCAUUUUCCUUUUUUGUUUUGAGAGCCUUCCACUAUAUCUCCAACCUUUGUAGUAUGCACAUAUUCUUACUUGAGUCUACACUUUUAAUGAUGUCAGAAUAGAUGCAGAUGGCCUGCUCUUUUGCUAAUGAAUCCUCUUUUGCAUAGUACUUCAAUUGUGCCUUGGUGAUGCAGGCACCAAAUCAUUUCAUUUCCUGAUGACGAUAAGUCAAUUAUGGCUUGGUGAUGCAGACACCAAAUUAUUUCAUUUCCUCAUGAUGAGAAGUUACCUAAAUGGUGAGAGUCAAAAAAAUCAUUUCUGUCAACUUUUGAUGUUCCGACUCAAUUUGAGAUCCAAUCUCAGAAUUUAUAUUUUCUCUUCUAACAUGCUACUUCCUUUGGUUUCACUGAAUAAUCACCUACGCCUGGAUCUGUUGUCUUGGUAAGAUUCUUUUACUGAUUCGGGAUUCUAGCUAGAUUGUAAAAAGUAGAGAAACCUUGGCCCUGAGUGAUUUUUUUCUUUCAAAAUAUUGUUCUCACCAUUCAAUAAACAAGAUCCAUUGCAAAAAUUGCCAUGAUAUAAAGAGGUAGCUUUGAAUUUGCACAAUCUAUUACAUUAUUCAAUCAAUAUCAAUAAUUAGCUUAGUCAUUCAGUUAUAUUCAGUAAUAAACCAAACCGUUCUGGUAAAAGCUGCAAUUCAGUUAGCAUUCUUGGUUUUCUUCAAAUUUUACAGAAAAGCAAACUGAGCUAGAGGUACAUGAUUUAUAUUCCUGCAUUCAUUAUAUGGAUUUCUUUGCCAAGCAACAACACUAAAUCUGAAUGCCUGUGCAGGAUUUCAAAUUGUCUAUUAACUCUGUGAUACCUUCAUGGUUUCUUACUGUGUCCAGUUAGCAAGCAUUUGAAAAUGUACAAGAUCAGUUUGCAUUUUAUAUUGCUUCUUGAAAAUCUCAAGUUGUAUUUCAUUAUCCAUUUGGCUAAGACUUCUGUCCAAGAAUAUGAUUAGCUGGGGCUCAACACAAGAUCAAUAUGGCCUUUGCUGCCAUAUUAGGGGGUGAUGGAUGGAUCCGGUACCAAAACGUAGAUUUCUUUCUUUUAGCGUACUACUUCCUUGGAUUUCACUGAAUAGUGGCUUAUGCCUCGAUCUUUCAUCUCGGUAAAUUUUUUUUGUCCAAUUAGGAUUCUAGGUUGUUAAAAGUAUAGAAACCUUGAUCCUGACUCCUUGAGUGACAUUUAUUUUUGUUUUUGAAAGAAGAAGCUGUUCAAGUUAUCAAAUACUGUUCAAUUUAGGGAAACUGGAAAGCACAAGUUUUGAUCUAAAAUAUUUUUGUUUGUGGGGAACCAUGAUUCUAGAUGGGACUCUAGAGUACUUAGAGUAGGGCACACUGCCUCUUUGAAUUAUGUGGCCACAUCAAGCACAAUUUUCUUUUGAACACCACAUCAAGCACAGUAGACAUAAGAUCAGGUGCCCAUAUGGUCUUUUAUCCACAUAAAACUCAAUAGAUAUAAGGUCAAAUACCCAUUUGUUCUUUUAGCUGCCAAAUUUAAGUAUUUAGGCCAUACCUUCCCCUAAUAUGCACCUCUUUCGCAAAACUAAUAUCUUGAUAUCAUAUUUUCAUUUAUUGUACAAGGAAAAUGGAAGCACAUGGACAUGGGCGAUCACCAGUAGGGGUAAUACAGAUCUCUUGGAUAUGGUAACAGGUUUGGUAUGGUUGAAGCAUUUGAGGUGCUUCUGUAGAUUGGCUUUGGUCAUGAAUUGAGAUAUUUGCAAUCGAAGAUAGCCUUUCAAACAGGGAUGUCAGGAUCAACAGCAUACUAACAGCAUACUACGUACAUGUACAGCCUUCAAUUGCCCUUUCUUAUGGCCAUUCAACUACAUAACGAUAUUGUAAUGGAUGCCAAUUCGUAUUCUUUGUUGAGAUAAACAAGUAUCAUGUUGUAUGAUGAUGUUCCUCCUCUA